GGGCCUGUGGUGUAAAGGGAGCACAGUACCCCGUCAAGGUCACAGGUGCGGGUUCGAACCCGCCAGGUUCC
rnacentral:tRNA from 1 species